UAACCUGGGAACUGCAUUUGUGACUGCGAGACUAGAGUGUGGCAGAGGGGGGUAGAAUUCCACGUGUAGCAGUGAAAUGCGUAGAGAUGUGGAGGAAUACCGAUGGCGAAGGCAGCCCCCUGGGCCAACACUGACGCUCAUGCACGAAAGCGUGGGGAGCAAACAGGAUUAGAUACCCUGGUAGUCCACGCCCUAAACGAUGUCAACUAGUUGUUGGGGAAGGAGACUUCCUUAGUAACGCAGCUAACGCGUGAAGUUGACCGCCUGGGGAGUACGGUCGCAAGAUUAAAACUCAAAGGAAUUGACGGGGACCCGCACAAGCGGUGGAUUAUGUGGAUUAAUUCGAUGCAACGCGAAAAACCUUACCUACCCUUGACAUGCCAGGAACUUUCCAGAGAUGGAUUGGUGCCCGAAAGGGAACCUGGACACAGGUGCUGCAUGGCUGUCGUCAGCUCGUGUCGCGAGAUGUUGGGUUAAGUCCCGCAACGAGCGCAACCCUUGCCAUUAAUUGCCAUCAUUCAGUUGGGCACUUUAAUGGGACUGCCGGUGGUAAACCGGAGGAAGGUGGGGAUGACGUCAAGUCCUCAUGGCCCUUAUGGGUAGGGCUUCACACGUAAUACAAUGGUCGGUACAGAGGGUUGCCAACCCGCGAGGGGGAGCUAAUCCCAGAAAGCCGAUCGUAGUCCGGAUUGUUCUCUGCAACUCGAGAGCAUGAAGUCGGAAUCGCUAGUAAUCGCGGAUCAGCAUGUCGCGGUGAAUACGUUCCCGGGUCUUGUACACACCGCCCGUCAC
rnacentral:rRNA from 1 species